rnacentral:misc_RNA from 1 species
UCUCCGUUGGUGAACCAGCGGAGGGAUCAUUACAGAGUUGCAAAACUCCCAAACCAUUGUGAACGUUACCAAUCCCGUUGCUUCGGCGGGCAGUACGGGCACCGCGCUCGGGGCUCCCCGGCCCCCCGUGGGCGCCCGCCGGAGGUAAACCAAACCCUUGAAUCGGAUGGCCUCUCUGAGUCUUCUGUACUGAAUAAGUCAAAACUUUCAACAGCGGAUCUCUUGGUUCUG